CGGAGAUAUAUAACGACCAGAUCCGCAGCAUGGCGGGCGGGGAUGUGGAGGACGAAGUUCUUGCCCAUAGUCCGACAUUCGGGAGCCUGAGAAGUGUCAUAUACCGGGAGAAACGCCGACAGCAACCGAAUCUGCCGCAGGUGGCAGCUGAUUUGCAGCUAACUGCCCCAUACACUCAAACGUUGAACGGACAGGACUUCCUUUUGUUUGACCGAACGAUGAGUGCAGGUCGUAUCUUGUGUUUCGCCACGCAAGAAGGUUUCACGGUGUUCUGCGAGGCCGACGAAGUUUUCGUUGACGGCACGUUCUUUUCGUGCCCUUCAAUAUUAUUUCAAGUGCUCACAGUUAGCUCUGUCAAAAACGGAUGUAGUGUUAAUACCGCCUAUUUCCUCCUGCCCGGCAAGUCACGGGAAGUGUAUGUCGCCACCUUCACGCGUUUCCUUGAGUGUCUUAGCGACCACGAGCUCCGACACAGAAUGACAGUCGUGAGGACGGACUUCGAAGUGGCGCUGAUUCAGGCACUCUUGUAUACGUUUCCUCGAGCAACCCACAGGGGCUGCCAUUUUCCAUUUUGGCCAAGCCAUAUGGAGAAAGGUCCACGUACUUGGACUAAGCACUGCGUACAGCGACGACCCGUCAGUGAAGGCUUUCGUCAGGAAGUCUGUUAGCUUGGCAUUUGUUCCGGUGUCAUUUGUUCGUGUCGCCUGGAACGAACUGAAGGCCACAGCCCCAUUGGUGCCAGGGAUUCCGGCCUUCAUCUUAUAUCUCGAAGACGUAUGGAUGAUGGUCUCCUUCGAUAUAAAUCAGUGGAACCAUUACAACAACCGCAGUGCUCGAACCAACAACCUAAAGGAGGCCUGGCACCGGAAGAUUAACCACAUGCUGGGAAAGGCCCACCCAAAUAUCUACGCGUUCAUCCACAUGAUCAAAAAAGACGAAGCAACAGGCAGGGUAACCCUACUUCAGCUGUCCAGUGGUGGCAGAGCACGGAAGAGGAUGAAAAAGUGGGACAUGAAAGAUGAAGAAAUAUGGAAGCUGGAGGAACGUCUGAGCCGCGGUGAGAUCAACCUUGAACAGUUCCAGGACAAAGCUCAACAUUUUUGGGCAUAUAGGCAUUAUAAACAUAUAAAACACACAUAAACAC